ensembl:lncRNA
CCCCCAGCACCGUGCUGCUCUUGGCUGCCCCAGCCUCAGAGGUCUGUUGGGCCCCAAGUCUCAAAUGUGUCCUAAACAUUCCCGUAGCUUCUUCUGACCCGCUCUCGCCAUCCAGUCUUAGCCUUUUGAGUGUUCUAUCGACCCCAACCUCCUCUCUGCUUGACCUAUGGAGCUGUGUGACCGGAUCACGUGUAGUGAAUCCCAUUUUGCCAUCAAGUCUGGGGCAGGGGUGUGUCGGCAGGGCCAGGGUGUGGCCUGGAGGGGCCCUGCGUCCCAGGUGAAAACCCUGGGCCCUCUCAAGCCUCCACCUCUGAACCCGCACAAGGCUCUUCCUGAGCCCGCCCUCCUGGAGAUGGCAGCCUUUGAAGCACACCGCCUGGAUUAUUUAAUAUAAUGGAACAGUGCAACUCGACCCAUCAGAGACAUAAAUGCCCAGGUGUUUUAAAUUUGUUUUCCCGUCAGAAUGGUAAACGGCAGGUAGUAAAAUUCGGCCCCGGGUCGGGGCUGUGGGUGCUCCCUGCUCUCUCUCGGGUGGGCUGGCAGCCGCAUAGCAGCCCCACUUCUCCAGGACUAGCCCGGGGCCAGGACUCCCCUGGAUGUGGCUUUCCCAAUGCUGGAGAGUGAUUCUACAUCAGGACUGGCCGAGGGUCCUGGGCCUUAGUUUCCAGAAGGAUCUCAGGGUACCUAAAUCUCCUGCCCACCAGGGCCUCUCCCCCGAGACGUCUGUGCAGAGAAACCCACAGCCCCUCCACUCCCGCACCCCCAGGUUAAUUGGGGUAUGAGGGCCUGUAACACCUAUAACAAGGUUUCUGUUGCUCUUGCCAACUUCAAUUAUGGGUGCAUCUGCUUUUUGAUUUUUCCAAGAUGGUUUGAUUUAAAAAAAAAAAAAAAAAUCCUUCAAACUACAAAGGGACAGACUGUGCACAGUAGCUUUUUGCAGAAGGCCUUCAGGAGAGAGCACAGAACAAGGCAAUGGAUGGAAAGCAUCCCAUGCAAACAGCAGCCUCCCCGGGACUCAACUUGGCCAUGACUGACCACUUCUGACAGAACUCACCUUACUACAGUAAUCCAAGGGGACCUCAGCCACCGCAUCUGGUGUGCAGAACCCCAGCCAGGGUUGUCCUGGGAAAGUGCCAGCAUGCCUAGAGUUAAUCACCAGUCCUUAGCCAGUGCAUGCCAGGAGCCACUGGCCUUGUCAACGGCAUGGGCCCUGUGGUCCUGGGCCAACAUUCCAGCCUGGAGUGACUGUGGCUGCAGCUUGAGGUACUUGGUGAAAAGCAGAGGCAGGAGGAGUCGAAGCUGUAAAUGCCAGCUGUAUUUUUAUUGGUCGUCUGAAACUUCAAAGGUUUCCUUGCUUUAAAGGAGGCCUAAGCAGGUAUCCAGUCCGCUUUCCGUGCUCCCGGCCUUGAUGCCUUAUUGAUUUUCAAUGUGGCUUGACUCCCAGGUGGGCAGACUUCAAAACGGUCUGUAUUUUUCUGCUGUCAUGUUUCCAUCCCUGUUCGUUUCCAUCUCCAGCAAGAUUCUGGGUAUGUUGGAGGGCAGCUUUUCCUUUUUCAGCUUUCUCUCAAUAAUUUUCUUCUGGACAGGAUUUUAGACAGCCAGGGUCACUUCUGGGGGGUGUGUCUCCCAUUGUAAGUACCGAGUUAGACCAGCUGCUGGUAAGUGUGAGGGAGAAGAGGCAGUCCUUGCCCUUAAGGGCUUCACUCCCAUCAGUCCUAAGU